rnacentral:rRNA from 1 species
GAUGUAGGGCGCGAGCGUUGUCCGGAUUUAUUGGGCGUAAAGAGCUCGUAGGCGGCUUGUCGCGUCUGCUGUGAAAACCUAAGGCUCAACCUUGGGCUUGCAGUGGGUACGGGCAGACUAGAGUGCGGUAGGGGUGACUGGAAUUCCUGGUGUAGCGGUUGGAAUGCGCAGAUAUCAGGAGGAACACCGGUGGCGAAGGCGGGGUCUCUGGGGCCGAUACUGACGCUGGAGGAGCGGAAAGCGUGGGGGAGCGAA